rnacentral:rRNA from 1 species
UACGUAGGAGGCGAGCGUUGUCCGGAGUACUGGGCGUAAAGCGCACGCAGGCGGUCCUAUUAGUCUGGGGUGACAGUUCCCGGCUUAACCGGAAAAGGACUCUGGAAACUGUAGGACUUGAGGGCUUCAGAGGGAUGUGGAAUUCCAGGUGGAGUGGUGAAAUGCGUAGAGAUCUGGAAGAACACCAAAGGCGAAGGCAGCAUCCUGGGAAGUUCCUGACGCUCGGGUGCGAAAGCCAGGGGAGCGAACGGG